UACGUAGGGUGCAAGCGUUGUCCGGAAUUAUUGGGCGUAAAGAGCUCGUAGGCGGUUUGUUGCGUCGGCUGUGAAAUCCCGAGGCUCAACCUCGGGUCUGCAGUCGAUACGAGCAAACUAGAGUGUUGCAGGGGAGACUGGAAUUCCUGGUGUAGCGGUGAAAUGCGCAGAUAUCAGGAGGAACACCGGUGGCGAAGGCGGGCCUCUGGGCAACAACUGACGCUGAGGAGCGAAAGCGUGGGGAGCGAACAGG
rnacentral:rRNA from 1 species